AUGAGCGGCAUCUUCUUUUCUUUCUGCUCAAUCAGAUGUGGCUCCCUUCUUAUUCAACCUUAUCCUCUAAUGAGUGUCAACGAUCUACAACCACCAUCAUCACAACAAAGAUCGCUGCGAAUAUUCUUUGUUCGUGCUUCUUCGAGUUCCAACGAACCACACCGAUGCCUCACUCUUCAACUCAUUCUCAAUAUCACAGCCCGGAUCUAG